rnacentral:rRNA from 1 species
GACGAACGCUGGCGGCGUGCUUAACACAUGCAAGUCGAACGGAAAGGCCCUGCUUUUGUGGGGUGCUCGAGUGGCGAACGGGUGAGUAACACGUGAGUAACCUGCCCUUGACUUUGGGAUAACUUCAGGAAACUGGGGCUAAUACCGGAUAGGAGCUCCUGCUGCAUGGUGGGGGUUGGAAAGUUUCGGCGGUUGGGGAUGGACUCGCGGCUUAUCAGCUUGUUGGUGGGGGAGUGGCUUACCAAGGCUUUGACGGGUAGCCGGCCUGAGAGGGUGACCGGCCACAUUGGGACUGAGGGACGGCCCAGACUCCUACGGGAGGCAGCAGUGGGGAAUAUUGCACAAUGGGCGGAAGCCUGAUGCAGCAACGCCGCGUGCGGGAUGACGGCCUUCGGGUUGUAAACCGCUUUCGCCUGUGACGAAGCGUGAGUGACGGUAAUGGGUAAAGAAGCACCGGCUAACUACGUG